rnacentral:snRNA from 1 species
CGCCCAAAAUUUGUUUACCC